GGGUGUUUAGCUCAGUGGUAGAGUAGUGUACUAGCCCUACAUUGGCCAGGAGUUCGAAUCUUCUAACAUCCA